rnacentral:rRNA from 1 species
UAGCUGGUCUGAGAGGAUGAMCAGCCACACUGGRACUGAGACACGGNCCAGACUCCUACGGGAGGCAGCAGUGGGGAAUAUUGGACAAUGGGGGCAACCCUGAUCCAGCAAUGCCGCGUGUGUGAAGAAGGCCUGAGGGUUGUAAAGCACUUUCAGUGGGGAGGAGGAUUACUAGGUUAAGAGCUGAGUAAUUGGACGUUACCCACAGAAGAAGCACCGGCUAACUCCGUGCCAGCAGCCGCGGUAAUACGGAGGGUGCGAGCGUUAAUCGGAAUGACUGGGCGUAAAGGGUUCGUAGGUGGUUUAUUAAGUUGUUGGUGAAAUCUCYGGGCUUAACCUGGGGUUGACRAAUGAAACUGAUWGACUCGAGUAU